GACGUAGAGCGCGAGCGUUGUCCGGAUUUAUUGGGCGUAAAGAGCUCGUAGGCGGCUUGUCGCGUCGAAUGUGAAAACCCGAGGCUCAACUUCGGGCUUGCAUUCGAUACGGGCAGGCUAGAGUUCGGUAGGGGAGACUGGAAUUCCUGGUGUAGCGGUGAAAUGCGCAGAUAUCAGGAGGAACACCGGUGGCGAAGGCGGGUCUCUGGGCCGAUACUGACGCUGAGGAGCGAAAGCGUGGGGAGCGAACAGG
rnacentral:rRNA from 1 species